AUCUCUUUGCCUUUUGGCUUAGAUCAAGUGUAGUAUCUGUUCUUUUCAGUGUAACAACUGGAAAAAAAAUAUUCUUUUGAAUAUUUAUUUUUUAUCAUGUUACAAAACUCCG